rnacentral:misc_RNA from 1 species
UUGUGAUUGUGAUGGAGCAGAGUAGAGAGCAGAGUUUGCUGAGAGUUUUAUACCAGUAAGAAGGUACCUAUUGUGUUUUUGAGUGUGUUCAUUUGCUUUGUGUAUUGGAAUAUCACACUCUCUACACAUAAUAGCCCUGUCUUGUUGACAAAACAAGAAACCCCUCCUUUCCUGACAGAUGUCACACAUAGGAGCUUGUUUAGGAGAAGGUUGAACAAGAGAAAAACGUUGAUGUUUGCUAGCAAGUUUGUUAACAUGAUGGACACGAUGAUCACAAUCAUCACAAAGAGCAGCCUCAUCCGCUGUACAAAAAACGAUAGCUUCCUUCUUGUUACACACAUCACAUUGAAUCUUCAUUUGAAUUCAAAUUUAAAUUCAAAUUAUAUCCUUUUUUUUUAAUGGAUCAAGAUUGUUGUUAUAAGUGAAAAGAGAAAAAAAGAAAAGAA